GAAUAUUGCACAAUGGGGGCAACCCUGAUGCAGCGACGCCGCGUGGGCGAUGAAGGUUUUCGGAUCGUAAGGCCCUUUUCUGCGUGACGAUAAUGACGGUAGCGCAGGAAUAAGUGUCGGCUAACUACGUGCCAGCAGCCGCGGUAAAACGUAGGACGCAAACGUUAUCCGGAAUUACUGGGCGUAAAGGGCGCGCAGGCGGUUGGAUAAGUUAGGCAUGAAAGCUCCCUGGCUAAACAGGGAGAGGAUGUCUGAUACUGUCCAGCUAGAGUGAGGUAUAGGGGUGUAGAAUUCCGCGUGUAGUGGUGAAAUGCGUAGAUAUGCGGAGGAAUACCAGUGGCGAAGGCGGCACCCUGGACUUAAACUGACGCUGAGGCGCGAAAGCAUGGGUAGCGAACGGG
rnacentral:rRNA from 1 species